UACGAAGGGGGCUAGCGUUGCUCGGAAUCACUGGGCGUAAAGCGCACGUAGGCGGCCUCUUAAGUCGGUGGUGAAAUCCCGGAGCUCAACUCCGGAACUGCCCUUGAAACUGCAAUGCUAGAAUCUUGGAGAGGCGAGUGGAAUUCCGAGUGUAGAGGUGAAAUUCGUAGAUAUUCGGAAGAACACCAGUGGCGAAGGCGACUCGCUGGACAAGUAUUGACGCUGAGGUGCGAAAGCGUGGGGAGCAAACAGG
rnacentral:rRNA from 1 species